GUAGAUUACUGGGGGAUCGCUGAAUAUGGCCUGCGCUUAAUUGCGCGGCUAAUUCUUGAUUUUCUGCUAUCAGUUUUCUUUCUCUCAUCCUAAACACAAUGGAGUUUUUUCUCUAUGAACUACUUCCCUGGAGAGCUCGUCUCUCCAGUGGACAUAAACACAAACAACAUUUUGCAUUAUGAAAAACUAUUUAUCAAGAAAUUUAAUAUUCAAAACUUUCAACAACGGAUCUCUUGGUUCUCGCAUCGAUGAAGAACGCAGCGAAUUGCGAUAUGUAUUGUGAAUUGCAGAUUUUCGUGAAUCAUCAAAUCUUUGAACGCACAUUGCGCCCUCUGGUAUUCCAGGGGGCAUGCCUGUUUGAGCGUCAUUUCUCUCUCAAACCUUUGGGUUUGGUAGUGAGUGAUACUCGUUUUUCGGGUUAACUUGAAAGUGGCUAGCCGUUGCCUUCUGCGUGAGCAGGGCUGCGUGUCAAGUCUAUGGACUCGACUCUUGCACAUCUACGUCUUAGGUUUGCGCCAAUUCGUGGUAAGCUAGGGUCAAUGAGCUUAUAGGUGUUAUAAAGACUCGCUGGUGUUUGUCUCCUUGAGGCAUACGGCUUAAUCAAAACUCUCAAAGUUUGACCUCAAAUCAGGUAGGAAUACCCGCUGAACUUAAGCAUAUCAAUAAGCGGAGGAAAAGAAACCAACCGGGAUUGCCUUAGUAACGGCGAGUGAAGCGGCAAAAGCUCAAAUUUGAAAUCUGGCGUCUUCGACGUCCGAGUUGUAAUUUGAAGAAGGCAACUUUGUAGCUGGUCCUUGUCUAUGUUCCUUGGAACAGGACGUCAUAGAGGGUGAGAAUCCCGUGUGGCGAGGAUCCCAGUUAUUUGUAAAGUGCUUUCGACGAGUCGAGUUGUUUGGGAAUGCAGCUCUAAGUGGGUGGUAAAUUCCAUCUAAAGCUAAAUAUUGGCGAGAGACCGAUAGCGAACAAGUACAGUGAUGGAAAGAUGAAAAGAACUUUGAAAAGAGAGUGAAAAAGUACGUGAAAUUGUUGAAAGGGAAGGGCAUUUGAUCAGACAUGGCGUUUGCUUCGGCUUUCGCUGGGCCAGCAUCAGUUUUAGCGGUUGGAUAAAUCCUCGGGAAUGUGGCUCUGCUUCGGUAGAGUGUUAUAGCCCGUGGGAAUACAGCCAGCUGGGACUGAGGAUUGCGACU
rnacentral:rRNA from 1 species